CUUUUACAAGGAGGGAAGACAAUGAAAAUGUACCUGAUUGGUUUAGUGUGGGAAGGCCCUGGUUAGAGGUCAGUUGGUGUUAGUUUUGUUUUAUUGUUUUAUAUUGGGCUCUGUUUACCUAGAAGCUAAAAUACUGGCCUGUCUCUGUUUAAUGCCCUCCCUAUUAUGAUUUUUUUAAACAAUUAAUAAGAGUGUACUAAGUAGGCCAGGCAUGGUGGCUCGCGCCUGAAAUCCCAGCAAUUUGGGAGGCCAAGGUGAGCGGAUCACUUGAGGUCAGGAGUUCGAGACCAGCCUGGCCAACAUGGUGAAAAUCCAUCUCUACUAAAGAUACAAAAAUUAGUGAGGCAUGAUGGCGGGCACCUGUAAUCCCUGAUACUUGGGAGGCUGAGACAGGAGAAUCACUUGAACCCAGGAGGCGGAAGUUGCAGUGAGCUGAGAUCAUCCCACUGCACUCCAGCCUUGGUGACAGGAAGCUCUGAGGAGUGAAUCCACAAUACAGUUCAAAGAGAGAUUUAAAUUGCUAAUUUCCCGGCACUGGAAUGUGGGGAAAGAUUGUCACAGAUUUAGCAUGAAAGCCAUGUAUUUAACAUUCCUAUGUAAUAACCCUCUCUUAAAUUGCAUUUUGGUUUGAGAAACAGCAAGAACAAAUUCAGCAUUAGGGGGAAACUUUGCUGUUGAUCUCAAAGGGAAUGAGAAUUUAGGGAGCACCUCUGCCCACCAGGAAGGAGCUUUCUCUUGAGUCUCCCACAUGACUGUGUACUAUGGAUCACAUUGGAAGAACUUCUCUUUUUCCUAAUGCUGUCUGAGUUUUGCAUUUUGGUGCCAGAACAGGGAAGUGAAGGGAUACAUAAGAGACACACAUAAUAGAAAUGUAAAAGACAAGCAAUACCACCAGACGAUAGAUGUAAUUUGGAACAAAGAUAUUUUUAUUUGCCUAAGGCUCAGAAAGUCGUGCCAGGCAAUGCUGGAAGGAAUUGGUUGGCUUCCUCUCCCAAACCACUUCCUCAGUGCUCAUCCUCUUUCAGGUGGACAAGAUAUGGCAUUUUGACUGCUAGCAAAUGUCACUGUGACAUUUCAAUGGCACAAUUGGUGACAAUUCAGCCAAUUUUUGUUGGGCACCCUCCACAUGCCCCAGGGUCUGGGCUCAGCCCUUUACGUACGUGGGCUCAUUGAUUCUUCCAUGUUUUCUAGAAUGUGAUUUUACCCUGGCUGGCACAGAGUAAAUGCCCAAAGAAUGGUAGCUAUUGUUUUUAAUCAUCAUUAUUAAUUUUAUAAAUAACUUCCAUAUCAGGUGAUGGGAAAAUUUCAGACUUUGAUUUGGGCCUUGGAAAACAGGUUCAGUUUCAGUAGAUGGAGGUAAAAGGAGGCAAAGAGCGACCUUACGUAAAUCCAAGGCUGAAGGAAGGAGGCUCUAAGGGGUGUGUGGGUGAUUAGGAGUAAAGUAUCUUGUCUGAAAUGAAGAGUUUCUAUACAGCAUGCUUAUUUGGAGUCAUGCCUAACAAGAUUACUUUGGGUCUAAUUUUGGAAGCUUGGUACUCCAGGGAGCUUGGACAUGAAUUUAAAGACAAUGGGAACUCACAUUUAAGUUUCUGAAACAGCCAGGCGUGGUGGCUCAUGCCUGUAAUCCCAGCACUUCGGGAGGCUGAGGCAGGUGGAUCACCUGAGAUCAGGAGUUUGAGACCAGUCUAACCAACAUGGAGAAACCCCAUCUCUACUUAAAAGAAAAAAAAAAUACAAAAUUAGCCGGGUAUGGUGGUGCAUGCCUGCAAGGGAGGAGACCACCCCUUAUAUUGUCUUAUGCCCAAUUUCUGCCUCCAAAGAAAGAAGAAGUAAAAACUAAAAGUCAGAAAUGGAAUUCACAAGCAGACAGCCUGGCGCCACACUCUGGGUCUGGUAGUUAAAGAUCAACCCCUGACCUAAUUGGUUAUUUGCAUAAGAAAAAGCACUGUGAAGAUCCCUGUCCUGUUCUGUUCCAUUCUAAUUACCGGUACAUGCAGCCCCCAGUCAUGUACCCCCUGCUUGCUCAAUCGAUCACGACCCUCUCACGUGGACCCCGUUAGAGUUGUGAGCCCUUAAAAGGGACAGGAAUUGCUUAUUCAGGGAGCUCGGUUGUUGGAGACAUGAGUCUUGCCGAAGCUCCUGGCCAAAUAAAGCCCUUCCUUCUUUAACUCGGUGUCUGAGGGGUUUUGUCAGUAGCUUGUCCUGCUACACCUGUAAUCCCAGCUACUCGGGAGGCUGAGGUGGGAGAAUUGCUUGAACCCAGGAGGCAGAGGUUACAGUGAGCCGAGAUUAUGCCAUUGCACUCCAGUCUGGGUAACAAGAGCAAAACUCCAUCUCGAAGAAAAAAAAGUUUCUGAAUGGGGAGCUGUUCUGGAGUAUGCAGGAAGGAUUGGGGUGGGAGGAGAACAAGAAGAGGAAUACGUUUUAGCGAUAUUGCAGUUAUUUCAGGUUAAAAGUGAUAGAGUCAGGGGCUGAACCAGGAUAUCGGCCAUAGAAGCAGAAAGGAAGGGGUAUGUGUGAAAGAAAUUAAGAAAGAAGAUGUCAGGCCUCUGAGCCCAAGCUAAGCCAUCAUAUCCCCUGUGACCUGCACGUAUACAUCCAGAUGGCCUGAAGCAACUGAAGAAUCACAAAAGAAGUGAAAAUGGCUGAUUCCUGCCUUAACUGAUGACAUUACCUUGUGAAAUUCCUUCUCCUGGCUCAGAAGCUCCCCUACUGAGCACCUUGUGACACCCCACCCCUGCCUGCCAGAGAACAACCCCCUUUGACUGUAAUUUUCCACUACCUACCCAAAUCCUAUAAAAUGGC
rnacentral:lncRNA from 1 species